GCAUCGAUGAAGAACGCAGCCAGCUGCGUGAACUAAUGUGAAUUGCAGGACACAUUGAACAUCGACAUUUUGAACGCAUAUUGCGGCCAAGGGUCGGUCAUUUGGCCACGCCCGUCUGAGGGUCGGC
rnacentral:rRNA from 1 species